rnacentral:rRNA from 1 species
GACGAACCGUGCAAACGUUGUUCGGAAUCACUGGGCUUAAAGGGCGCGUAGGCGGGUCUGCAAGUCCGGGGUGAAAGCCCCCAGCUCAACUGGGGAAGUGCCUUGGAAACUGCGGGUCUUGAGGGAGGUAGGGGCAUGUGGAACUUCGGGUGGAGCGGUGAAAUGCGUUGAUAUCAGGAGGAACACCGGUGGUGUAGACGGCUUUCUGGACCGUAACUGACGCUGAGACACGAAAGCGUGGGUAGCAAACAGG